GGUGUGCAUCCCAAUAUUUUGACAUACAACAUUCUGUUAGAUGGACUUUGUAAAAAUGGGAAGCUAGCGAAAGCAAUGGUUGUAUUCGAGUAUCUGCAAAGGAGUACAAUGGAACCUGAUAUUUACACAUAUAAUAUUAUGAUUGAAGGGAUGUGCAAGGCAGGGAAGGUGGAAGAUGGGUGGGAAUUGUUUUGUAAUCUCAGCCUUAAAGGAGUGAGCCCUAAUGUUAUAGCCUACAAUACAAUGAUAUCAGGAUUUUGUAGGAAAGGUUCAAAGGAGGAAGCAGAUUCCCUGUUAAAAAAAAUGAAAGAAGAUGGGCCUCUUCCAAAUAGUGGUACCUAUAAUACGCUGAUUAGGGCACGCCUUAGAGAUGGUGACAGAGAAGCAUCAGCUGAACUCAUCAAAGAAAUGAGGAGUUGCGGGUUUGCUGGAGAUGCUUCAACCAUUGGCUUGGUCACUAAUAUGUUACAUGAUGGGAGAUUGGACAAAAGCUUCCUCGAUAUGCUUUCUUAAUGCUAUUUAUCUCAUUUUCAGUAUCAAUUUUUGUUAUGUUUAUUUUCUGUCAAAACUCAAAAGUAUCUCAAUUCUCAUUUCUUAUACUUUAAUAUGCAAUUCCUGAAAAUCAGAUUAUUAGUGUACAUCUUCAGCAAUAAGUAUGUAUCAAUUUCCACAUUUUUUUUCUCCUUCUAAUUUUAGUUGAUGAAACAGUCAAACAGAAAUUGUUUAAACUUUCAUGAUGUACCAUUUUGUUUUUGUUGUAAUGUGAUAUUUUAUUAAACAACAAAAAAUUCUAGACAAAGAGGUACUUAUAUGUUAAUUCUUACCAAGAAGUCUAAAGAAAAUAGAUGUGUCCGUUAAAGCAGUUGAAAGACAAACCGAGAUGAAUCCCAAAACGAAUACGGACUUAUUGCGAGGAAGGAAUCGAGCAUGAGAGAUGACCCAAGAAGAGUCGAAAGAUGAUUAAAUUUUCUGAUAACUUUUUUUUAUGCUUAACCGGAUCUAACAUUUUGUUAAACCAACCUAAACCAUGCUCAAUUCCGAUUCCCUAAUCUGAUAAGCACGAAUCACAUCUGUUCUCUAUUUGCAGAGCUCGAAAUUUAAGAGAGAAAUUGAGAAGCCAAAUCGAGAGAAUGCUUGCAAAAAUAUCAUCUUCAGCGAAGAGAUUUGUUCAUCGGAGUCUUGUGGUGAGAGGUAAUGCUGCAACUUUUCCUCUCUCUUUUUCCUUUUGCCGGAGAAGAGCUUUUUCUGGUAAGACUAGUUAUGAUUACAGAGAGGUACUUAGAACUGGGCUGAGUGAUAUUGAAUUAGAUGAUGCAAUUGGUUUGUUCGGUGUUAUGGCACAGUCUCGUCCUUUCCCUUCGAUUAUUGAGUUCAGUAAACUGUUGAGUGCCAUUGCUAAGAUGAACAAGUUCGAUCUUGUCAUCUCCUUCGGGGAGAAGAUGGAGAUUUUAGGAAUUUCACAUAAUCUCUAUACUUACAAUAUUUUGAUUAACUGUUUCUGUCGAUGUUCUCGACUCUCUCUUGCUUUAGCUCUUCUUGGCAAGAUGAUGAAACUCGGCUAUGAGCCCGAUAUUGUCACGCUUAACUCGCUGCUCAAUGGUUUCUGUCACGGGAAUAGGAUUUCUGAUGCCGUAGCUUUGGUUGAUCAAAUGGUCGAAAUGGGAUAUAAACCCGAUACGGUGACAUUCACAACUCUAAUUCAUGGACUUUUUCUUCACAACAAAGCUUCAGAAGCAGUGGCUUUAAUUGAUCGAAUGGUUCAAAGAGGCUGUCAACCAGAUCUGGUUACUUAUGGUGCGGUAGUUAAUGGAUUAUGUAAGAGAGGUGAUACUGAUUUGGCUUUAAAUCUGCUCAACAAGAUGGAAGCUGCGAAAAUAGAGGCCAAUGUUGUGAUCUACAGCACAGUCAUAGAUAGUCUCUGCAAAUAUAGACAUGAGGAUGAUGCACUCAACUUGUUCACUGAAAUGGAAAACAAAGGAGUUAGACCAAAUGUUAUCACCUACAGCUCCCUCAUAAGUUGCCUUUGUAAUUACGGAAGAUGGAGUGAUGCUUCUCGACUACUCAGUGAUAUGAUUGAGAGGAAAAUCAAUCCAAAUUUAGUCACUUUCAGCGCAUUGAUUGAUGCAUUUGUGAAGAAGGGGAAGCUUGUAAAGGCUGAGAAAUUGUACGAGGAGAUGAUCAAAAGGUCCAUAGAUCCUAAUAUUUUCACUUAUAGUUCACUGAUCAAUGGGUUUUGUAUGCUCGAUCGCCUUGGUGAGGCUAAGCAGAUGCUUGAGUUGAUGAUUAGGAAGGAUUGUCUACCAAACGUAGUCACUUAUAAUACGCUUAUAAAUGGAUUUUGUAAGGCUAAGAGAGUAGACAAAGGUAUGGAACUCUUCCGCGAGAUGUCUCAAAGAGGAUUGGUUGGCAACACAGUCACUUACACCACUCUUAUCCAUGGAUUUUUUCAAGCUAGAGAUUGUGAUAAUGCCCAAAUGGUUUUCAAACAGAUGGUUUCUGUUGGUGUGCAUCCCAAUAUUUUGACAUACAACAUUCUGUUAGAUGGACUUUGUAAAAAUGGGAAGCUAGCGAAAGCAAUGGUUGUAUUCGAGUAUCUGCAAAGGAGUACAAUGGAACCUGAUAUUUACACAUAUAAUAUUAUGAUUGAAGGGAUGUGCAAGGCAGGGAAGUGGAAGAUGGGUGGGAUCUAUUUUGUAGCCUCAGCCUUAAAGGAGUGAAGCCUAAUGUUGUAACCUACACAACAAUGAUCUCAGGAUUUUGUAGGAAAGGUUUAAACAAAGAAGCAGAUGCCUUGUUUAGAGAUAUGAAAGAAGAUGGGACUCUUCCAGAUAGCGGUUGCUAUAAGAUGCCAUCUUAGAGAAUGGUGACAAAGCAGCAUCAGCUGAACUCAUCAAAGAAUUGAGGAGUUGCAGGUUUGCUGGAGAUGCUUCAACCUUUGGCUUGGUCACUAAUAUGUUGUAUGGGGAGAUUGGACAAAAGCUUUUUGGAAAUGCUUUCCUAAACUAUCCUUGAAGUGAGUAAGCCUUUUUUAAUAAGUUAUUACUUCUCAAUAGUCAAUACAAUCCUUAUGUUCAUGAGUAUGCCUGAUUAGCUUUCUGUGAACCAGCAUUGAAGUUUUAGUGAACAUUUUGAGUUGUGAUUUGGUUUUUUAUCUUCUGUAUCCAAUAUUGUUCAUAUCUUAUAAACGAGACAUUCUCAAUUAUGUUAAUCAAAUUUGGAAACUUUUAUCUUUGUUUCGUGCAUUAGGAAACUUGCAAAUUGUUAAUUUCUCCUAUAGAAGAAAAUGGUUCUGAUGCGAAUCAUGUAUGUACCAGAAGCUGUCUUUGAACAGGUGGAGCUGCAUCGCACUCCAUUUCACAUGGGAACUCUUGUUUUGCAGGCUCAAUGACGGUUUCAGAAGAUGAUAUCCAAACUAAUGUGAGUAUAUGAGAGAGUGUAGCAGCUGUAAUCUCAUCAAAUGAAAGAUAUUUCAGUGUUCAAGUAUUACUUCUCAAUGCAGUCAGUAUGUUCCCAUGGUGUAGUUCAUUGCACAUUGGAACAGUUCGUUCUUUUUUGUGUUGAACUUGAAUUACUAUCGUUGUUUUUUGUAGUUCCUAGUGGAAUUAUGAACAUGUGUGUGGCUGGACAAACAUACACGUAGUACCAGGUUUAGUACUUGAAUUAUGAACUUGCAGAGAUGGUUCAAUGGCAUAGUUCCCAUCGUCAAUUUCAUUGAUUGAAUUUCCCUUGCCAGAAAUUUCUGUUUUAUCAUAAAUUUUGAGAAGUAGUUUUGGUUUUACGGGGUUUCUUCAUUUCUGAAAUUAGGGAUUUUAUUUCAGGGUAAGAAAUCCCAAGAAGAAAUGAAGAAGAAAGUUAGUACGCAUGCAUAUGGAGCCUGCUCUUCCUUUGAAGAUGGACCUUGAUAGACCGAUUCUUCCUCGGUAUGGAAUGUUAGAUCAGUAUCAUUAUGAAAUAAUUCCUUUGAAUUCCGAUGCUUACUCUGCCAUUAGAUAUGAGAAUGUAUGAAAAUCUUCCUUAGGUUCUAUAGCAUAAUGUGAAGAUUGAAAUAUGGUUUGAUCAGUUGCUGUUUCUGACUUUUGAAAUUUGGUCAGUUAGAAAUUUACAUGAAACUUCAUAAUGGUUACAUUUGUAGACUACAUAGGGUUUUAGAUAUUCACAUAGGGCAUUCUCAUCUUCAGUUUGGUGAAUCAAGCAAUUACUAUAUACCUAUUUAUCUGGAGUAUUCAGGUUUCAGAGACCAACUGGCCCAAUUCCCUCGUUGAUGCUUGACCUUGAAGUCUACACAGGAGCUAUAGAUGAUUUUGAUUUUGAGGAUUACUUGAAUGGUAAUUGUUUUACAGCUCUUUCUCAUACUUUUUAGACUGUUUUACACCAAAAAAAAAAGAAACCCUAUAUAUUUGUCUGCUUCUACAAUGGUCAUUGCUCAAAUAGUGACUAUCAUAUACUACUUGCAGUGUGUAAACCAAGCAUCCUUGUCUUGCAGAAAGUUGAACUCUUUGAGUAUAUAAGAGAAAAACUGUUUAGACUUGUUUCUUUUCUUAGUUUCACCAUUUUAUGGGUUGUUCUGAUAAGUAGUAUCUACUCCGCAGAUCCUCGAGAAUCCAAGAUGCUCAAACCAGUUGACUUCCACCACCACGUCAUGGAAGUUGGGGUUAGUCUCUCCAAAGGCCCAGCUUAACCAAGUUCCUUGUAGGUCAAAACAGUUUAUACUUUAUAAUGCCAUCAAAGUAUUGAAACUGGACUCUACUUGUAUGUUUGUGCAGCCUAACGCUGGGGAAAUGAUCCUUGCAGCGCCGUCAUCAAGUUCAGGGACCAAAACUCUUGUCGAAAGCUUCAACAAUAAGUCUGGUGACUAAUAUAUAAAUAGCUGAUUUGGAUAGUGUGAGAUCAACAUGGUGUUGCUAGACAAGUGUGCAGAAUGAGAUAAUUUUAUAUUAGAACAGCCAUGUAUUUUCUUGUGAUGUUUCAUGUUCUUAACUUCUCUUAUUUACACGGUUCCUUUUUGAGCUGCUACUGACCAUGAGAGGUGUUAUGUGUUUAACGCAAUAACUUUUUGUUAGUGCCUUGAAAUAUAUGUUUUCUCAUGUAAGUUGUCCUUGUAACUAAGCUUUUCAUAAUUGAUGACAUCAGUACUGAUCUUUUUACUUUUAUUUUUGUUAAUGAUAUAUUAUAACCUCGAGAAUUUUCUCAUAUGUAGACGAAAUCUUGGAAAAACUUCUGGUACGUAUUAUUUUCUUAACUCUUGGCAUCUUAUUUUUGAAAUCAGGUGUUUAGGUCAAUAGCGGAAACAGAGCCUAGUGAUGUGAAGUUAGGGCUGGACUUGGUGAGCUCUAUGAAGGAAGAGCUUGAGUUAUGUCCUUCAACAUGCUUGUGCCAAUGCCAAAUAUAAGCAGAACGCUAGCUCUACCUGUAUGGAAAGAGUACAAAUUUGAAGAACUUCCUUACAAUGUCCUCACAAGUAUUUAAUGCAAGAGCUCUUUUAUCUCCUACAUUUAAAAGAAUGAUUUUGAACUUUUCUUAGUCAUCGUAUCUAAAAGAGUGGCUUUUUCUUAGUAGAGAGUUCUUUUUUUUUUUUUGAUAAAUCCUAUCGACUAAUCCGGUCAGCCUCGGUAGAAACGCACCGAAGUACUUCAGAGUAGACUUCUCCCCGAAAGACCACACUGUCUGUCUCGAGUUUGGAAUUCUUAGUAGAGAGUUUAAUAGGGCACAUCUUAGAGAUGGUGACAAGGAAAAGUUUACUCUUAAAAAUGUUCAUAAAAGCAAGGUUUAUUAAAACUGAAAAUUGCAAGUGUUGUUCUUCCGUCUAAUGGUUUAUUUAUCUGAUUCUCGUAUUGACAAUAUGGAGAUAAUGUUUCUGUUUAUGGAAAAGCAAGGUGAAGAGGCAUCUUUACCUACGCUCAUAAACCUGAACAAAAGAGACAUUAACUGAACAAUAUUAAACCAAAUCGUACCAGAGAAGAGAAGUCAGAGUGAACCGGUCGGUUAUUAAAACUGGAAUAUUUAAGAAGAAAUCUUGACCGUCAAAAUUACCAAAAUGAUCCAACGGCGCAGAAACGCGAGAUCCCUCCGUCUUCAAGGUUAAACAAUAAUGACAAGUUGUGUUCAUUUAGGGAUUGUCGCAUCACAAUCGAAGAAGAUGAGUUUGGCGAAGAGAUUUGCUCAGCUGAGGAAAGCUUCUCCAUUGUUUUCCCUUCGAGGUGUCUAUUUCUCUGCUGCGAGUUAUGACUACAGAGAGAAAUUGAGUAGAAAUGUGUUGCUCGAUUUGAAGCUAGAUGAUGCGGUUGAUCUGUUCGGUGAGAUGGUACAGUCUCGUCCUUUACCUUCCAUUGUUGAAUUCAAUAAACUGUUGAGUGCCAUUGCUAAGAUGAACAAGUUUGAUCUUGUCAUCUCUCUCGGCGAGCGGAUGCAAAAUCUGAGGAUUUCAUAUGACCUCUAUUCGUACAAUAUUUUGAUUAACUGUUUUUGUCGACGCUCUCAACUCCCUCUUGCUUUAGCUGUUCUUGGCAAGAUGAUGAAACUCGGCUAUGAGCCCGAUAUUGUCACGCUUUCUUCGCUCCUCAAUGGGUACUGCCACGGUAAGAGGAUAUCCGAGGCUGUAGCUUUGGUUGAUCAAAUGUUCGUAAUGGAGUAUCAACCCAAUACCGUCACAUUUAACACUCUAAUCCAUGGGCUUUUUCUUCACAACAAAGCUUCCGAAGCAGUGGCUUUAAUUGAUCGAAUGGUUGCCAGAGGGUGUCAACCAGAUCUAUUUACUUAUGGUACCGUAGUAAACGGAUUAUGUAAGAGAGGUGAUAUUGAUUUGGCUUUGAGUUUGUUAAAGAAGAUGGAGAAAGGGAAAAUAGAGGCUGAUGUUGUGAUCUACACCACUAUCAUUGAUGCUCUUUGCAACUACAAAAACGUGAAUGAUGCACUCAAUCUGUUCACUGAAAUGGAUAACAAAGGAAUUAGACCAAAUGUUGUUACCUACAACUCCCUCAUAAGAUGCCUUUGUAAUUACGGAAGAUGGAGUGAUGCUUCUCGACUACUCAGUGAUAUGAUUGAGAGGAAAAUCAAUCCAAAUGUAGUCACUUUCAGCGCAUUGAUUGAUGCAUUUGUGAAGGAAGGGAAGCUUGUAGAGGCUGAGAAAUUGUACGACGAGAUGAUCAAAAGGUCUAUAGAUCCUGAUAUUUUCACUUAUAGUUCACUGAUCAAUGGGUUUUGUAUGCACGAUCGUUUAGACGAGGCCAAGCACAUGUUUGAGUUGAUGAUUAGCAAGGACUGUUUCCCAAACGUAGUGACUUACAAUACUCUUAUAAAGGGAUUUUGUAAGGCUAAGAGAGUAGAAGAAGGUAUGGAACUCUUCCGCGAGAUGUCUCAAAGAGGAUUGGUUGGCAACACAGUCACUUACAACACUCUUAUCCAAGGGUUAUUUCAAGCUGGAGAUUGUGAUAUGGCUCAAAAAAUAUUCAAAAAGAUGGUAUCUGAUGGCGUGCCUCCCGAUAUCAUAACAUACAGCAUUCUGUUAGAUGGACUCUGUAAAUAUGGGAAGCUGGAGAAAGCAUUGGUGGUAUUCGAGUAUCUGCAAAAGAGUAAAAUGGAACCUGAUAUUUACACAUAUAAUAUUAUGAUUGAAGGGAUGUGCAAGGCAGGGAAGGUGGAAGAUGGGUGGGAUCUAUUUUGUAGCCUCAGCCUUAA
rnacentral:lncRNA from 1 species